UACGUAGGUGGCAAGCGUUGUCCGGAAUUAUUGGGCGUAAAGCGCGCGCAGGCGGUCCUUUAAGUCUGAUGUGAAAGCCCACGGCUCAACCGUGGAGGGUCAUUGAAACUGGGGGACUUGAGUGCAGAAGAGGAAAGCGGAAUUCCACGUGUAGCGGUGAAAUGCGUAGAGAAUGUGGAGGAACACCAGUGGCGAAGGCGGCUUCUGGUCUGUAACUGACGCUGAGGCGCGAAAGCGUGGGGAGCAAACAGG
rnacentral:rRNA from 1 species